rnacentral:rRNA from 1 species
ACUCCUACGGGAGGCAGCAGUCGAGAAUUUUUCUCAAUGGGGGAAACCCUGAAGGAGCGACGCCGCGUGGGGGAUGAAUGGCUUCGGCCCGUAAACCCCUGUCAUUUGUGAACAAACUCCACCGGUUAAUACCUAAUGAAUUGAUAGUAGCGGAAGAGGAAGGGACGGCUAACUCUGUGCCAGCAGCCGCGGUAAUACAGAGGUCCCAAGCGUUGUUCGGAUUCACUGGGCGUAAAGGGUGCGUAGGUGGUGAGGUAAGUCGGAUGUGAAAUCUCCGGGCUCAACCCGGAAAUGGCAUUGGAAACUACCCUGCUGGAGGAUUUGAGGGGGGAUUGGAAUACUUGGUGUAGCAGUGAAAUGCGUAGAUAUCAAGUGGAACACCAGUGGCGAAGGCGAGUCCCUGGAAAAUACCUGACACUGAGGCACGAAAGCUAGGGGAGCAAACAGGAUUAGAUACCCUGGUAGUCCUAGCCGUAAACGGUGCUUGCUUGCUGUAAAAGGAAUCGACCCCUUUUGUGGCGGAGCUAACGCGAUAAGCAAGCCGCCUGGGAAGUACGGUCGCAAGAUUAAAACUCAAAGGAAUUGACGG